rnacentral:rRNA from 1 species
GAGUUUGAUCAUGGCUCAGAACGUACGCUGGCGGCACGCCUAACACAUGCAAGUCGAACGAAGUAGCAAUACUUAGUGGCAGACGGGUGAGUAACAUGUAGGUAUCCGCCCUUUGGCCUGGAAUAACACGAGGAAACUUGUGCUAAUACCGGAUAAGUCUUUACGGAGAAAGCUUUAUGCACCAUUGGAUGAGCCUGCACUUGAUUAGUUUGUUGGUGGGGUAAUGGCCUACCAAGACUGUGAUCAAUAGCUGAUUUGAGAGGAUGAUCAGCCACAUUGGGACUGAGACACGGCCCAAACUCCUACGGGAGGCAGCAGUGGGGAAUCUUGCACAAUGGAGGAAACUCUGAUGCAGCGAUGCCGCGUGAGUGAAGAAGGCCCUUGGGUUGUAAAGCUCUUUCGUCGGGGAAGAAAAUGACUGUACCCGAAUAAGAAGGUCCGGCUAACUUCGUGCCAGCAGCCGCGGUAAUACGAAGGGACCUAGCGUAGUUCGGAAUUACUGGGCUUAAAGAGUUCGUAGGUGGUUGAAAAAGUUGGUGGUGAAAUCCCAGAGCUUAACUCUGGAACUGCCAUCAAAACUUUUCAGCUAGAGUAUGAUAGAGGAAAGCAGAAUUUCUAGUGUAGAGGUGAAAUUCGUAGAUAUUAGAAAGAAUACCAAUUGCGAAGGCAGCUUUCUGGAUCAUUACUGACACUGAGGAACGAAAGCAUGGGUAGCGAAGAGGAUUAGAUACCCUCGUAGUCCAUGCCGUAAACGAUGUGUGUUAGACGUUGGAAAUUUAUUUUCAGUGUCGCAGCGAAAGCGAUAAACACACCGCCUGGGGAGUACGACCGCAAGGUUAAAACUCAAAUGAAUUGACGGGGACCCGCACAAGUAGUGGAGCAUGUGGUUUAAUUCGAAGAUACGCGCAGAACCUUACCAACACUUGACAUGUUCGUCGCGACUCUAAGAGAUUAGAGUCUUCGGUUCGGCCGGACGAAACACAGGUGCUGCAUGGCUGUCGUCAGCUCGUGUCGUGAGAUGUUGGGUUAAGUCCCGCAACGAGCGCAACCCUCACUUUUAGUUGCCAUCAUUUAGUUGGGCACUCUGAAAGAACUGCCAGUGAUAAGCUGGAGGAAGGUGGGGAUGACGUCAAGUCCUCAUGGCCCUUACGUGUUGGGCUACACACGUGCUACAAUGGUACUUACAAUGGGAAGCAAAGAUGCAAGUCCUAGCCAAUCCCUAAAAUGUACCUCAGUUCGGAUUGUACUCUGUAACUCGAGUGCAUGAAGCUGGAAUUGCUAGUAAUCGCGGAUCAGCGCGCCGCGGUGAAUACGUUCCCGGGUCUUGUACACGCCGCCCGUCACACCAUGGAAGUUGGUUACACCUUAAGGCAGAGCUUAUACCUCUGACUACGGUACGAUCAGCAACUGGGGUGAAGUCGUAACAAGGUAACC